UGGCGAACGGGUGAGUAACACGUGGGUAACCUGCCCAUCAGAAGGGGAUAACACUUGGAAACAGGUGCUAAUACCGUAUAACACUAUUUUCCGCAUGGAAGAAAGUUGAAAGGCGCUUUUGCGUCACUGAUGGAUGGACCCGCGGUGCAUUAGCUAGUUGGUGAGGUAACGGCUCACCAAGGCAACGAUGCAUAGCCGACCUGAGAGGGUGAUCGGCCACACUGGGACUGAGACACGGCCCAGACUCCUACGGGAGGCAGCAGUAGGGAAUCUUCGGCAAUGGACGAAAGUCUGACCGAGCAACGCCGCGUGAGUGAAGAAGGUUUUCGGAUCGUAAAACUCUGUUGUUAGAGGAGAACAAGGAUGAGAGUAAAACGUUCAUCCCUUGAC
rnacentral:rRNA from 1 species